CGGCCCCGCCCCACCGGCGGAGCGUCGCAGGACGCAGGACGCAGGGCCGCGGGGGCUGUCGGGACGGCUCCAAGAUGGCUGGGCGCUUGGGUCCCGCACCUGCUGGCGGCCCCGACCCCCGUUCACUGCCACCGCUUCUGACCGGAGCUGCCAGUCGGCCCGGCGACUCCCGGGUCUGUCCCCGGGGGCAGAAGGCCGCCAUGGCGACCCUGGAAAAGCCAGUGAAGGCCUUGGAGUCCCUCAAGUCCUUCCGGCAACAGCAGCAGCCACCUCAGCCGGAACCGCCGCCGCCGCUUCAGCCUCCUCAGCCGGUACCGCCGCCGGCUCAGCCCCCUCAGCCGGUACCGCCUCAGCCCCCUCAGCGGGCGCCGCCGCCGCUCCCGCCGCCCGCCCCGCCGUGGCCCAGGAGCUGCUGCACAGACGGAAGAUUAAAAUGCAUGUUCAUAACAUCAAGAAAAUCACAAGCGUUUACGAUGUAGUCAGAACUAUCUGAGGAGCUGUGAAACCUGACAGGUGUGUUAUUCUGGGAGGUUAUCAGGACUCCUGGCUAUUUGGAGGUAUUGACCCAACCAGUGGAGCUGCUGGUUUGUAAGAAGUUGUCUAGAAUUUUGGAAAACUGAUUAGUAGAGGCUGGAGACCGAGAAGAACUACCAUGUUUGCCAGCUAGGAUGCAGAAGAAUUUGGACUUCUGGGUUCCACAAAUGGGUUGAGGAGAAUGUGAAAACACUCCAGGAGAGAGGGGUUGCAUAUAUCAAUGCAAACUCAUCCACAGAAGGCAAUUAUAUUCUCAGAGUUGACUGUACACCCCUUCUUUUCCAGUUGGUAUAUAAACUGACAAAAGAGGGUCUAUUGUUUCAUGGGGCAGAGUCUCUUUGAUAUAACAGAAAGAAUACUGAGCUGGGAUGGGGAAGCCUUGGCUGUGAAGAUUGCCUUGGCCAUUCAUUCAUUCAUUCAGUAAAGAGGCCACAGACCUGUAAAUGAGGACUCAUACUUCACUUGAAUAGUGGAUACUACAUACAGUGGAGGACAAUUAUGGAAGAGAGAAGCUAAGACCUUGGGGUAGCUGGUGAGGUUGGAAAGCAUUAGAAGGUGUUUACAGAAGGAUUAGUGGUUAGGCUAUAAAAUGGAAGGAUGUGAAAGUGGGGAGAAGGUUUCUCAUCAGAGGACACAGGACCUAAUAAAGAUGUGGAUGUGUGAAAGAACAUUUCCCGAUCUCUGGGUAAUGCAAUAUAACCUAAAUAUAAGGUGUUGGUGAAAAAGCUGGUAAGAAAUGGGACCUGACACAUAGGCCUAAAUGUUCAUAAAUCUGGUGAUGGAGAAAUUAAAGAAUCUUUAACAAGGUUGUACAUUAUCAUAUUUAUUCAUUAGAAAGAUUACUCUGUAUCAGUGCAGUGAAUAGGUUAAGCUAUAGUAAGUCUAAAAGCAAAAUGGAAGUAAUUCCACAUGCUUAUUUAGCAAACAGGAAUUUAUAACUACUAGUUAUUGAUGUAAAAAGUACUCUGAAAACUCUAAUGCACUCUGAAUCUCUAAAAAUUAUGUAAUCUACUCAUUGAGUAUAUGUGUGCUUCAUUUAAAUAAUCCCCCAUUAUAGAAUUAAGUGUAGAAAUGUUUCUUUCAAGUAGGUAUCACUUAGAUGACAGUGGGAAGUAGAUGUCACAUCUCUGUGGGUCCUGUUUCCCAGUUGCCCUUCGUCUUGCCCUGUCCUUUUCACUGUUUGUGUCUUUAACAUCUCAUCCUCCCAAGUGAGCAUCCUCCCAUGCCCAUCACAACUCCCACCAUACUGGGAAGCUUAGGUCCUUGAUACUUUUAUUGAAAUGUCCCAUAAAAACAUCUUAUCUAAAAGCACGCUGUAAGGACAGUCGCUAUUGGAGAAUCCUUCUCAGGAGAUACAUUUACACUCUGUCCUACAGAGGAGGCUCCUGCCUUUAUAGGAGGGGUAGUAAGAAUUUUAGGGCCAAGAAGGAGAAGCUUAGGUCUAUCCCCUUUGUACAUUUAUUCAAUAAGCAUUAAAUGUGUAAGUGGUUACCAUAGUGACAGGAUGAAUCAAACAUAGAUUCUGCUAUUAGGGUGUUAACUGUGUAGCUAGGAGAGACUAUGAUAAAGAAUUUUCAAAUCCAAGAUAGAGAUUAAAAUCACCAAAGUGAAUACAGAUAAAAGUGGUGUGGGAAGCCAGAAAGAAAUGUCUCAUUUUAUCAUUUUACACGUUGGAAUUAAACAGCCUGCUUAAUGGGAAAUUGCAAAAAUUUUUCCCAUUUUAAAGCCUCUUUUAUGUUAAUUUGAAUUUAAUUUUUAUGCCACUUUAGAUAUAAUGUAUUUGUCUUUCAGAGUUUUUGUUUUAGGUAGUUUUUUUUAACAGUUUAACUGGGAAAUUUAAAUGUAUCUUUAGAAGUUACAUUAUCAGGAUGAACUAACUGUCCAGAAGAGAAGAGUGAGAUUUUAUAAUCUUGUUUGAUUUGAUUGUCAGUGGAGGAAUCAGACAUCAUUCAUCUGGAGAAAUGCUAUUGGUUGCUGAAGGCUCAAUCGCGAACUGGAUGAUUUGAUUUAGAGACAUUUGGCCCAUUGGUUUCACCACCAAUUCGUCCAUCUCUGAGUGAAGGUUUAUUUGAUGCCUUUGGUGAAAAUCAUGACAGCCACAUAGAUUUUAAGGAGAUAUUCUGUGGGUUAUCAGCCUGUUGCAGAGGACCUCUGGCUGAAAGACAGAAAUGUAAGUGUGUUAAACAUCACAAAAUUUGGAAACUAUACAGAGAAAAAAAUUAGCAUUCAUUCAUGUAAAAAAUCAUUUGCUUAAGGCUUGAAUUUUCAUCACUUUGACAAAUAGCAAUCUCUUCCUGAGGUUUUACUGAGGUCAGUGUGAAGAUUCAAUCAUCUAUUCUUUUUUACUGUGGAGUAAUUUAGGAUCUUUGUUAUUAACAAUGGUUGAUUUUCCAGAUGAAUGUAUAAUUCAUGAUAAAUGAACUACAUCAGUCAUGAUGUGUUUGAAAAUGUUAAGCAUAUAGAAAAUAUUUUCUGGUAGUCUAUAUAGAAAAUUUGUCUUGCUUAACUUGAAUUCCAGCUUAUUUUCUAUCACUUGUGUGUACUGAUAUUUUAUUAGCAAAAUUAAAUUUAUGAUAAAACAUUUUUAUUAAAUACUAAAAUUGUCUUUUAAACCUAGCCAAAAUGUUAUAGUGUAAUUUAUAAGCAUAUUACAGUAAUAAAUCUUAACCGUAUUUGGAAAAAUGCAGCAGUUUACAUUUAAUUGGAACCUAAUUCUUAUAUAUUCACUAGGGUCAUUAUUUCUGCAUCUUUCUAAAAUAGAACUUCACAAAUAUUGCAUAUUUUGGGUAUGAUACUUAAUAUUUUGAUAUUCUUUAGUAAUGUUGUACUGUGAUGCACUCAGAUAAUUUAAUAGCAUAAUUAUUAUAGGAGUGUGUGAAGUAGAUAAUUAUUUAAUCUUAAAAAUUUAGAUAUCUUUUUUCUUCCCUGAUAGUAUACCAUUACUCUAACCUGGCUUUGUGAUAGAUUAUUUGUUCACAUUAAAGUUCUGAUAUUAAAGAGGCUGAAGUCUUUGUUUCUCAAUUGAGGUUAAUUAUUGCCUUAAUUUUUUUUUAAUUUAUUUUUUCCAGUGGACUAGUGGAAGUUAACCAACUAGACUAACUAGUAAUUUUGCUGAUAUUGAUAUUAACUAGCAAAGUGCUGAUAUUUUGGAUUCUUAGCUUGUUGUAUAUAAACUUCAUUGAAGAUUUGAAAUUGUUCUUUGGCAAAAACAUUGGGUGCAAGUUAACUACAUUGGAGAGCCUCUUUAUACAGUCAUCCCUCAUUAUCUGCUGAGGAUUGGUUCUGAGACCCCCUCAGAUACCAAAUCCAUGGAUGCUCAAGUCCUUAUGUAAAAUGGCAUAGUAUUUGCAUAUAACCUAUGCACAUCCUCCUGUAUACUUUAAAUCAUCUGUAGGUUACUUAUAAUAACUAAUACAAUGUAAUUAGUUGUAAAUACAAUGUAAAUGAUAUGUAAAUAGUUUUCAGUGUGUAGCAAAUUCAAGUUUUGCUUUUGAGAAGUUUCUGGGAAAUUUUUUUUUUUUUUUGAUCUGUGGUUGUUUGUAACAGGUACAGAGGGCUAACUGUACCAGCUUUUUGUUGAUUCUUAAAGUAGAUGGAAUAUUUUCAGCAUUAUAAGAAUCAACUGAUCAGUUUUAAAUAUUAGAAAUUAAUUUAAAGGCUGGAAUUACCUUCUUAAAAUCUGUGAGAUAUUGUAUAGUAACUUGGCCCUUUUUCAGUUUGCAAGAAAUUUAACUAUAGAUUUAGGUGAAGGAUAGUGUUCUCUAACCUGGCUAAUGAUAGAAGGAGAGAGACUUGUGAAGUGUACAGGACUUCCUACAAGUUCAAAGGACUUUAAUGACACAAUCUCCUCCAAAUAAGAACUUAAUCCAGAAUGUAGUUGUUUGAGGAACCAAGUAAUUUUACUAUGGCAGCUUCUAAUAAAAUGCAUUAUAUGUCAGAAUAUAAAAGUAAUUUUCCUCUGUAAGAGCCUUUAGUUUGCUUCAAGGUAUUUGACGUUGACGGUGAUGGAGUUCUCUCUAAGGUUGAACUGAGAGACACGUGGUUGCACAUUUAGAGGUCUGGAUGGACAACAGCACUGAUCAUAUCCUGGAAUUACAUGUGGAUCUAUCCAACAUUGUAGAAGACACAUUGAAUGUGCAUGACACCACAAAGGUGGUCAAGAAUAACAAGACAGAAACCCCAGAGUUGGAAUUAUUUCCUCAAUAUCUUCUCUUCCUGUGACAGCAGCCUGCCACUUGGACACAGCAGUCUAACAUCUGGAUGAAUAUGGGUAUGAUGUUCCUGAGAAUGUUUCCUCAACAUUUACCAAGAGAAUUGCCUCACUCUUCUGGAUGAUGCGGAUUGUAGAUUGGAAUAUCUGAAAAUCCAGGAUGAGCAGCACCUGGUAAUUGAAGUUUGAAAUAAAGAUAUGAGUUGGCCUGAGGAAAUGUCCUUUAUAGCAAACAGUAGUAAAAUAGAUAGACACAAGGUGGGCCAUAGCAACAUAUGCUCCCCAAUUUAAUGGGUUCCAGCAACAGGACUCCCAGGAACUUCUGGCUUUUCUCUUGGAUGGUCUUCAUGAAGAUCUCAUCUGAGUGCAUGAGAAGCCAUACGUGGAGCUGAAGGGCAGUGAUGGCCAAACAGACUGGGGUGUAGCUGCAGAGUGUGUAUUGCCUUGGAUGAUGAAACAGUCACCUGUCAGGUCCCUCUGUGUGAAGAUCUGAGAUGUCUGCUGUCUGGUCCUGAUCAUCCUGAUGCUGCCAACAAUCCAAGAUCUAAGUAUUUUCUUGCCUGGGGAGCUGAGGCAUUCACUUCUGGUCAGCAUUACUGGGAGGUGGCAGACUGUGAUAACUUGACAAUUGGGGUUUGUAAUGAUUCUCGGACAAGGAAGAAUGACAUGGUGGUUGACUUGGAGGGAAUUUUUCUCCUUUUUUGUAUCAAAGAGAACAAUCAGUGCUGUCUCUUUACCUCCUCCCCACCAUUACCUCAGUAUUUACCUCAAUAUGUCAAAAGGCCUCUCGGCCACACAGGGGUGCUCCUAGAUUAUGAAGGUGGUGUGGUGAGCUUUGUCAAUGUGGCCAGCAGUUCCCUCAUUUGUAGUUUUCUCAUGCUCCUUAUCUCCUCUGAAGCCUUUUCUUUGCUCUGGACACCUAUGAUCAGGGGCAAGUGAGAAAUCUGACCACAGGCAUCAGGAAUGUCAAUGACUGAGAUCACUAAGUUAGUGCCUGCCUGAUUUUCUUUAACUUCACCUUCCUUUGUGAAAUGUAUUGAUUGAUUUUAAAGGGUUGAUAUGUUAAUUGUUUAAAUUCCAUUUUCUUUAAAUAAAAAUAUCUCUUGAAACACUGA